rnacentral:rRNA from 1 species
GAUGAACGCUGGCGGCGUGCUUAAUACAUGCAAGUCGAGCGAACGGACGAGAAGCUUGCUUCUCUGAUGUUAGCGGAGGGCGGGAGAGUAACACGUGGAUCACCUACCUAUAAGACUGGGAACACUUGGGGAAACCGGCGCUAAUACCGGAUAAUAUUUUGCACCGUAUUGUUGAUAGGUGAGAGUCGGUCUUGCUGUCUCUUAUCGCUGGAUCUCAGCUGGUUUGGCUGGUUGGUACGGUCAAGGCUUAUCACGGGAAGGAUGCAUAUCCGACCUGCCAGGGUGAUCGGCCACACUGGAGCUGAGACACGGUCCAGACGCCUACGGGAGGCAGCAGUAGGGAAUCUUCCGCAAUGGGCGAAAGCCUGACGGAGCAACGGCGCGUGAGUGAUGAAGGCCUUCGGAUCGUGAAACUCUGUUAUUAGGUAAGAACAUAUGUGUAAGGAACUGUGCACAUCGUGACGGUACCUAAUCAGAAAGCCACGGCUAACUACGU